GUACACAAAAAUGCACAUAUUGUGAGCUCGAUGAGUAGGGCGGGACACGUGGUAUCCUGUCUGAAUAUGGGGGGACCAUCCUCCAAGGCUAAAUACUCCUGACUGACCGAUAGUGAACCAGUACCGUGAGGGAAAGGCGAAAAGAACCCCGGCGAGGGGAGUGAAAAAGAACCUGAAACCGUGUACGUACAAGCAGUGGGAGCCUCUUUAUGGGGUGACUGCGUACCUUUUGUAUAAUGGGUCAGCGACUUAUAUUCUGUAGCAAGGUUAACCGAAUAGGGGAGCCGAAGGGAAACCGAGUCUUAACUGGGCGUUAAGUUGCAGGGUAUAGACCCGAAACCCGGUGAUCUAGCCAUGGGCAGGUUGAAGGUUGGGUAACACUAACUGGAGGACCGAACCGACUAAUGUUGAAAAAUUAGCGGAUGACUUGUGGCUGGGGGUGAAAGGCCAAUCAAACCGGGAGAUAGCUGGUUCUCCCCGAAAGCUAUUUAGGUAGCGCCUCGUGAAUUCAUCUCCGGGGGUAGAGCACUGUUUCGGCAAGGGGGUCAUCCCGACUUACCAACCCGAUGCAAACUGCGAAUACCGGAGAAUGUUAUCACGGGAGACACACGGCGGGUGCUAACGUCCGUCGUGAAGAGGGAAACAACCCAGACCGCCAGCUAAGGUCCCAAAGUCAUGGUUAAGUGGGAAACGAUGUGGGAAGGCCCAGACAGCCAGGAUGUUGGCUUAGAAGCAGCCAUCAUUUAAAGAAAGCGUAAUAGCUCACUGGUCGAGUCGGCCUGCGCGGAAGAUGUAACGGGGCUAAACCAUG
rnacentral:rRNA from 1 species